rnacentral:rRNA from 1 species
UACGUAGGGUGCGAGCGUUAAUCGGAAUUACUGGGCGUAAAGCGUGCGCAGGCGGUUUUGUAAGCCAGAUGUGAAAGCCCCGGGCUCAACCUGGGAAUGGCAUUUGGGACUGCAAGGCUUGAGUGUGGCAGAGGGGACUGGAAUUCCUGGUGUAGCAGUGAAAUGCGUAGAGAUCAGGAGGAAUACCGAUGGCGAAGGCAGGUCCCUGGGCUGACACUGACGCUCAUGCACGAAAGCGUGGGGAGCAAACAGG